UGCUGGAUUUUUUAUUCAUGUCUUGUUAAUUUGCUAAAUUGUCAAGUUGUUGUUUUGCUAGAUUGUUGUGUUGCAUUGUUUUAAUUUGCUGGAUUGAGAAUUUGAGAUUGAGAUUUUUCUUUUUUUUUGUUAUUUGUAGU